AUGGGUAGAUUUGUUACAGAUCUGUUCUCUAAUCUGAACCUUUUCUUGUGGAGGUGGCACUUGCAGGACUUAACCAUCAAGCCAAAAUAUCUUGUAACCUUUACUUUCUCAGAGAAUUUCACAAUUGUUUUAUUUCACUGUGAUGGUCAGACAAGUGAAUGGGAUCAGUUUGAGGGGUCAAAGCAGGCUAUCCAUGUGAGCAUUCAGAAGCAAACUAAAUGGUGGUGUGCCAAGCGUUUUUUGCAUCCUGACAUUGUGGCAUCCUAUGAAUACAUAUUAAUUUGGGAUGAGGAUAUCGGUGUGGAGCACUUUAAUGCAGAGGAAUACAUAAAACUAGUAAGGAAAUAUGGGUUGGAAGUAUCACAGUCUGGUUUAGAACCAAAUAAUGGGCUAACAUGGCAGAUGACAAAGGAGAGGUCAUAGUGAAGUUCACAUGCAGACAGAGGAGAAACCUGGUUGGUGUAAUGAUUUGCAUUUGCCGCCCUGUGCAGCGUUUGUAGAAAUUAUGGCGCCUGUGUUUUCUCGGGAUGCAUGGUGUUGUGUUUGGCAUAUGAUUCAGAAUGACCUGGUCCAUGUUAGGGGUCUGGAUUUUGCUCUUAGACGCUGUGUAGAGCCUGCACAUGAGAAAAUAGGAGUCGUAGAUGCACAGUGGAUUGUCCAUCAAGGUGUUCCUUCACUUCUAAACCAGGCCCAAGCAGAGCACUUAGAGCUCCAUGGGAAGGGGUCGGAAUGGUUGGUGCAGAAAGCAUAUUUUGAAGAAAUGGGAAUUGAUCCCCCAAAUUCAACAGCACGUUAGGGGUAGCCAAAACUGGGCAGAAGGAACUUGUAGAAUUACCAGGAGUCAAGUGUAGUUGCAACGAUACGUCAUUCAGUCUAGCUUUUAUUGUAGCUUCAUUAGUGUACAGUAACAGUACUUCCCCCCUCUCGUCUGGAUGUCAUUUUCAUGUGUUAGACUUGGGAUUGUCCCCUCAUGUCUCUAGAACUAGAAUCUCAUCAUAGGAAACAAGACUUUGGUUAGAGAGCCCCACGUGUUCUAUUACCAUGACUAACAUGAAUGAUAUUCAAUUUGUCUACCAGCAGACCUACCCAACACUAUUUAGUGCCGGGUACCCUA